rnacentral:rRNA from 1 species
GAUGAACGCUGGCGGCGUGCCUAAUACAUGCAAGUCGAGCGAACAGAUGAGGAGCUUGCUCCUCUGACGUUAGCGGCGGACGGGUGAGUAACACGUGGAUAACCUACCUAUAAGACUGGGAUAACUUCGGGAAACCGGAGCUAAUACCGGAUAAUAUAUUGAACCGCAUGGUUCAAUAGUGAAAGACGGUUUUGCUGUCACUUAUAGAUGGAUCCGCGCCGCAUUAGCUAGUUGGUAAGGUAACGGCUUACCAAGGCAACGAUGCGUAGCCGACCUGAGAGGGGGAUCCGCCACAACGGAAAUGAGACACCGUCCCGAAUCCCAAGGGGGGGGGGAGGGGGGAAUAUUGCACAAUGGGGGCAAGCCCGAACGGGGCAACCCGCGUGGGUGAAGAAGGGCUUCGGGUUGUAAAAACCUUUUUUUGGGGAAAAAAAAAAGGUGGAAGAAACUAUGCUGUUCUGAAGGGUACCAAAUAAGAAGGCCCGGCCUAACUAGGG